rnacentral:rRNA from 1 species
AGUGAACGCUGGCGGCGUGCUUAACACAUGCAAGUCGAACGAAGGAAGCAAUUCCUUAGUGGCAAACGGGUGCGUAAUGUAUAGGAAUCUGCCUUAUAGUGGGGGACAACAGUUGGAAACGACUGCUAAUACCGCAUAAUAUCAGAAAUGAGAAAGUCGCAAGACGCUAUUUGAUGAGCCUAUAUCUGAUUAGCUUGUUGGUAGGGUAAUGGCCUACCAAGGCGAUGAUCAGUAGCUGGUCUGAGAGGACGAUCGGCCACACUGGGACUGAGAUACGGCCCAGACUCCUACGGGAGGCAGCAGUGGGGAAUAUUGGGCAAUGGGCGAAAGCCUGACCCAGCAACGCCGCGUGGUGGAUGAAGGCCUUAGGGUUGUAAACACCUUUUAUUGGGGAAGAUAGUGACGGUACCCAAUGAAUAAGCAUCGGCUAACUUCGUGCCAGCAGCCGCGGUAAUACGAAGGAUGCUAGCGUUACUCGGAAUUACUGGGCGUAAAGCAUAUGUAGGCGGGUCAUUAAGUUGAUGGUGUAAUCCCCGAGCUCAACUCGGGAAUUGCUGUCAAAACUGAUGGCCUUGAAUAUGGUAGAGAGUAAGGGAAUUCUUGGUGUAGGGGUUAAAUCCGUAGAUAUCAGGAGGAAGACCAGAAGCGAAAGCGCUUACUUGGGCCAUUAUUGACGCUGAGAUAUGAAAGCGUGGGGAGCGAACAGG